GGUUAGUAAAAAGGCGAACAAGCUGUUUCAGUUGAGGAUGCUUCGGAAUAUCGCAGUUACAAUACAUUUUCUCCACUUUUAACAUGAGAGCAACAAUGAGCCAACCAUGGCUUUGUAACCUGUUUAAGAUGAUGCUUGGUAAUGUAAUCUACUUGGACAACCUAGCCACAGUUUACUGCUGGGGGGAAACAAGCACAACAUCAGAGGGAACCUUAAUGACAGCCACUACAUGCUGUAUGCUUGAUGAAAGCAAUGCCUCCUGGUAACUGAAACAUGACAAAUCAGAGGGAGAAUGGAAGAAAAGCCAUUUAUCAAGAAGUUGAUGUUGACAACUCCUGUUUUUCUGCAGUGUCACACCUAGGUCAGUUCUCGAAGCCCAAAUGUAGUGGAAGCAACAAUGCGCCUUUGCCGGUGACAAACAUCGCAAGCGUGAUGCAAAAGAUGGAUUGUGUGGGUGUGAUGGAAACAGACUGGAAAAGAUGAGCCUGUCACAAUGUGUUGUCAUCGUGUAUUGAGAAUAACAGUGAGACGAUCACAUGAACAAAUUAGUUGAAUGUGACAGUUUAGAUUUAAUCAAGAAAGUCAUAGCAGUAGCCAUUCAAG